rnacentral:rRNA from 1 species
CACGUAGGGGGCGAGCGUUGUCCGGAUUUAUUGGGCGUAAAGAGCUCGUAGGUGGUUUGGUAAGUCGGAUGUGAAAUCUCCAGGCUCAACCUGGAGGGGUCAUUCGAUACUGCCAUGACUAGAGUUCGGUAGGGGAGUGUGGAAUUCCUGGUGGAGCGGUGAAAUGCGCAGAUAUCAGGAGGAACACCCGUAGCGAAGGCGGCACUCUGGGCCGAUACUGACACUGAGGAGCGAAAGCGUGGGGAGCGAACAGG